GGCUCAGUAGUUCAGUGGUUUAGAACGCAUCUCUCAUGAGGAUGAGGUCGGGGGUUCAAUUCCCCCCUGAGCCA
rnacentral:tRNA from 1 species